UACGUAGGGGGCUAGCGUUGCUCGGAAUCACUGGGCGUAAAGGGUGCGUAGGCGGGGCUUUAAGUCAGAGGUGAAAUCCUGGAGCUCAACUCCAGAACUGCCUUUGAUACUGAGGAUCUUGAGUUCGGGAGAGGUGAGUGGAACUGCGAGUGUAGAGGUGAAAUUCGUAGAUAUUCGCAAGAACACCAGUGGCGAAGGCGGCUCACUGGCCCGAUACUGACGCUGAGGCACGAAAGCGUGGGGAGCAAACAGG
rnacentral:rRNA from 1 species